rnacentral:rRNA from 1 species
CCCUAUGGGGUGCAGCAGGCGGAUGCCGAACGCGGCAAGGUGACGGGGACGCCGGUGGGCUGUGCCUGCGGCGAAGGGGUGAUUGACUGGGCGAAGACGAUUGCGAUGUGCAAGCAGUGCCGGCGGGAUAUUGUGUUUUCGGUCGAAUGCGGCACGGUGGAACAGGCCCAGAAAAGCUAUGACUUCCUGAAGAAACUAUUGUAAUAUACCCACAUAUAAAUCCGAAACCUAUCUGCACAGGAAAAAUGAAGAUGAGAAUCGCAUUAUAUGGUCUGAUUUGUUCGGUGGUAAUGCUGGGGGGAUGUCAGAGUUCUUCUGAGGCCUGGCUCGAAAAGGAGCAUUGGCUCAUUGCUGAUGAUGGGGGUCUGCUGCUGGCUUAUAAUCAGAAGAAUACAACGUAUAAGCCGUAUGUGGUGGAGCUGUUUACGCCGGCGGGGGGGC